GAAUCUUGCGCUAAUCGAGCGCAGUGACAUCAUUGCCUGGCGUCGCAGGUACUUGCGGGCGAUCAAGAAAUUCCGAGGACAGGGCAGGUGCAUCAUCUACUUGGAUGAAACAUGGGUCAACGCAGGGCACACGAAGGAGUACGUUUGGCAGGACACGACUGUGAAGUCAUCGCAAGAUGCCUUCCUCAAAGGUCUGACGACAGGAUUGGCUGCACCCUCGGGCAAAGGGGCCCGUUUGAUCCUCGUA